GUUUGAAAUUGCCCACAGUCGGCAGAGCAUGAGGCUCUUAAUCUCAGGGUUAUGGGUUUGAGCCCCACUUUGGGCA